rnacentral:rRNA from 1 species
GAUGAACGCUGGCGGCGUGCCUAAUACAUGCAAGUCGAGCGAACGGACGAGAAGCUUGCUUCUCUGAUGUUAGCGGCGGACGGGUGAGUAACACGUGGAUAACCUACCUAUAAGACUGGGAUAACUUCGGGAAACCGAAGCUAAUACCGGAUAAUAUUUUGAACCGCAUGGUUCAAAAGUGAAAGACGGUCUUGCUGUCACUUAUAGAUGGAUCCGCGCUGCAUUAGCUAGUUGGUAAGGUAACGGCUUACCAAGGCAACGAUGCAUAGCCGACCUGAGAGGGUGAUCGGCCACACUGGAACUGAGACACGGUCCAGACUCCUACGGGAGGCAGCAGUAGGGAAUCUUCCGCAAUGGGCGAAAGCCUGACGGAGCAACGCCGCGUGAGUGAUGAAGGUCUUCGGAUCGUAAAACUCUGUUAUUAGGGAAGAACAUAUGUGUAAGUAACUGUGCACAUCUUGACGGUAACUAAUCAGAAAGCCACGGCUAACUACGUG